GUCACGAACUCGCCGCUAAUUCCUUCGGACUAUAGCGGGAGAUUGAUUGCUCUGUCGUGACCAGACUAAGUUCUUAGAGAACUACGUUAUUCAGCUCAUGACACCUACAAAUACGUGCCAGUUUGUAGCAACUGUCGUACAGCUUUAAACAGGCGUAACGAGUUAAACCAGUGAGUUGUACCUAACAAGGUUGAAUAACAUUGUCGAGGCUAACUCUACCCGUUUAUCGG
rnacentral:sRNA from 1 species